CAAACUUGCUUCCUCAAAGCAAGAAACAAAGCUGUUUCUGUCGAAACUGAAGGAUACCUUUUUCCUUAGCCUGACAUUGAGAGCACGUCUCACAAGAGAUGGGAGACCAAGGUCCUCAUAGCAUUUGUUUCUGGAAACAAAAUGGUCUGACUUCCUUGUCAGUGUGAGUUCCAGGAGUUCACUGAAUCCAGCACAUUUCAAACUUGACCGCAGAGCCCCCUUUCAAGAUGAAACCAUUCAAGAAUCUGAAAGAAACAAUCUUAUCAGAUGGAUCCGGAAGCUCAUUAUUGCUGCUGGCCUCACAGCGCCUGGAAGGAUACUUGGAGAUCACUCACAAGGUACCCUCCCUUCCUCCCACGUCCAACGGCCAAUGAUCUGACCUUAGGAAGGGCUCUGGCCAUUCCUACCCUGCGCUGCUCUUCGGGCCCUAGCAUUGCAGGUGUGAAUGCACGCCCCACGGGGGUGUCCCGGCCUCCUGUCUCUCUUCAUUCGCAGCCGUGUUACCACACCUUUCAGACACGCGAACAGCACUGGGUCCCUCCUGCACACUGGUGUCUCCCCCUUUGUCCUGCAGCUUGGCUUCUAGGUGGCCUUUAGUAGGGAGCCCUAGGCACCGAGCAGAGUGAGCCCCGAGCCUGCCUCCCUCCACUUCAGGGAAGCUGCUCCUUGUCUCUGUCUUUUGAUUUUUGGAGCUCAGAUGAAAGAUUCCAUUGAAAAGGAAGCGUGUUCCUUAAACCAAACAAACAAACAGAAACACCUACAAACCUUUGGCCACAGAAUAAAACCUAAUACCUUGUCACGGCAUCGGAGGCCCUCCGCGGACAGCCCCAGCCUCUCCAAGAGCCUCAUCUGCCGCCAUUUCUCCCACUUACAGCGGCCCCAGGCCCUCGUCAAGGGCACACCUCAGACGCAUCCCUCUCUCAUCCCCUGUUGGAACCACCUUUCUGACUUCACCGCCCGCUGAAGAGCUCCUCAGUCCCUUCGUUGCUUCCUCACUGAGCUGCCCCAGCUUCCCAUCCUCACUGCUCCCACAGCAUGGUAGCCCUUUGUCACCAUGACCUUCUCCCCUGCGUGGGCGCUUCAUUUGUCUUUCUUCCUAGGACCCUGGCUCAUUGAUCUUAGAGCCCGCGGCAUGGAGCACAGCUUUCUCAGCACAUGGGAGGCAUUCUCAAGUUCAUGAACGCCCUCGUGUUGUCUAAGCCCAAUUCUUUACGCAUCAUUUUUAUUAAGGCCUGUGUAUGAGCUUCUAAAUUCAACCCUUAAGAAGAGAUGACCAAAUAAACAAAAAAAUCCACUCACAGUAUACUCAGAAAAGAACCUUUGAAGAGGGGAAAACGUCGGAGCAAAACAGAAACAGAGCUGAUUAACUGAAUCUACCCAGCCAGUUCGAAAUUUGGCAAAGGUCUGUAAUUUGUGCACCUUUGGAAACUCCCAGGAGCUCGUAAGCCUCCGAGUAAGCUGGUUUUGGAGGACAAGACUGACAUUUCCCCCUUUAUUUUAUGUACAGUAGAGUCCCACUAAUUGAGACUAAGGAGUGGGACAACUGUUUGAACUAAUGAAAUCCUAUUUUGCGGGAUGUUUUUAACGUAAUUAAUUUUUCUCACACUUUAGACUUAGUUUAACAAAAAGCACCAGAGCAUUUAAAAUGUACAUGUUCACCAUAUGCAAAUCAAAUUGUUAAUCACUUAAGAAAAGUUUAGGCUGCCAUUUGUUUGGAUCACUGACUCCAUUACAAACUUUUUUUUUUUUUUGCAAAGAUAGAUCCAAGGGAAACUCCAUGACACUUGUUCCGAUGACCACAAUUCUGAACUAGGUUCAUAUGAAUUAAACAGAUUUCGACAGGAUUGUCAUUCUUCAGCAAAUACGCAUUAACCAUAGUGUUCCCGAGGCCAGAGUGAAGAACUGGGCUCGGAAGACGCUGCUCUGUACUUACUUCAUGUUUCCAAAUUAUUUUCACGGUGAAGUUAGCCAGUUUUCCGUGGCUCACGAAACUCCAGGCUGGCUUGAGUUUCCUGCUUCCUUCUUUGGCAAGACUGCACCAAACCUUUUCAAGAGAUGUGUUCUUACUUAGAGGAAAGGAAAUAUCGGAUCCAAGCCAUUUCACAUACGCCAAAUGCCAAACACCAAACAAAGCAGCUCAGCUUUUCAAAGAUUUGAUAUCGUAACUAUAGCCACUUGAGUAAAGGCUCAUUCCAGAAUGGCCAAGUUAAAUAAGGCAGAAGUAGGGCUAAAUUGAUCUCCACGUCUAGUGUUCAUAAAUCUGCAUGAAGGAGUUCUGAAUCAAAGAAAAUAAAUUACAAAUGUGUAAUACUGGCUCACACCCAGUGGAUUCGCAUGUUUUAGAGGACAAGCACAUGCUUGGUGUUGCUGUGAGGACCAUCUCUUCUCAGUGCAGGCUGAGUGUGGAGCUGAUUAUGGAAGGGGAGCCAAGAAAAUCCUGGGAUUCUAGAAGACAGCACCUCAGGAGAUUACCCAUUUGGAAUCCUUGCCUUCAAGGAAGAGGAGGAGGGAACCAGUCUCAUCGAUGUCUUGAGAGCCAUUGUGACAUGAGAGUGGCUUUCAGUGGCUUUCACAGGAGACCCACUGCUUCAUUGGCCACUAGACGAUCAUCUCAGGCACAAGGGUACAGAACCGCAAAGAAUGAGACCUGUGUCGGAGGCCGGACAAAUUGGUGGGAUAUCUGGCCCUGAGCAGAGGAAACUUUCUGAGGUCAGAGUUUCUUCCCAGAGCACCUACUCAGUGACACUUUCAUGACAAACAGGGAUUUGUGACUGGGAGCUUGUCAAUGAUGGUCACGCACCUGCCCCUCUGUGGGCCCACCGGUGGCCAACUUUGCCCUGACUUCCUGCAUCAACGUUACGGAGAACGACUUCCUCCCUCAGACACCCAGAGAAU